CGCUGGCGGCGUGCCUAACACAUGCAAGUCGAACGGAGACUUCAAGAACGAGUAAUUUCGGUUCUAAGUUUUUGAUGUUCUUAGUGGCGGACGGGUGAGUAACGCGUGAGCAACUUGCCCUUGCGGUGGGGAUAACGUUUGGAAACGAACGCUAAUACCGCAUAAUGUACCGAGACUGCAUGGUCAUGGUACCAAAGAUUUAUUGCGCAAGGAUGGGCUCGCGUCUGAUUAGGUAGUUGGUGGGGUAACGGCUCACCAAGCCGACGAUCAGUAGCCGGACUGAGAGGUUGAACGGCCACAUUGGAACUGAGAUACGGUCCAGACUCCUACGGGAGGCAGCAGUGGGGAAUAUUGGGCAAUGGGCGAAAGCCUGACCCAGCAACGCCGCGUGAAGGAAGAAGGUCUUCGGAUUGUAAACUUCUUUUGUAAGGGACGAACAAUGACGGUACCUUACGAAUAAGCCACGGCUAACUACGUG
rnacentral:rRNA from 1 species